UGGGGAAUCUUCCGCAAUGGACGAAAGUCUGACGGAGCAACGCCGCGUGUAUGACGAAGGCCUUCGGGUUGUAAAGUACUGUCUUUGGGGACGAACGGUAUCUAUGUAAAUAAUGCAGAUACAUGACGGUACCCAAGGAGGAAGCCCCGGCUAACUACGUGCAGCAGCCGCGGUAAUACGUAGGGGGCGAGCGUUGUCCGGAAUCAUUGGGCGUAAAGGGCGCGUAGGCGGUCAUUAAGUCUGGUGUGAAAGGCAGGGGCUCAACCCCUGGAAGGCACCGGAANUGGUUAUCUUGAGGACAGGAGAGGAAAGCGGAAUUCCACGUGUAGCGGUGAAAUGCGUAGAUAUGUGGAGGAACACCAGUGGCGAAGGCGGCUUUCUGGACUGUAACUGACGCUGAGGCGCGAAAGCGUGGGGAGCAAACAGGAUUAGAUACCCUGGUAGUCCACGCCGUAAACGAUG
rnacentral:rRNA from 1 species